AACAUCAGGGGCUGUUGGACUGGAAAGGGCUGCCUUCAUUUAACUCUCCCCGCCCCUGGUGAGAAAACCGAGAUACAAGGUGGAGCCAGGCCUCCGUGUUCACAGCCGUCACUUUGGUGCAAGCCUGGCUGGCCUCUGCAACUUUGCCCAGUCUGGUGAGGAAAAGGAGCAAGCUCCCGCUGGCUGCACCUGGGCCCUGUGCUUUGGCCCUGUCAUCAAAUACCAGCGCGAGAGACCGUGAAGCUUGGGCUUCCUUGUCCCCAAACCCCGCCGCCUCUCAGGAGCAUACGCGUCCCUACGGUCUCCCAGGAGAGAGUCUCAUUUGUACUAUCACCCAAACUUCUGCAUUCCUCUGGAUUUGUAAACUUUAGAGAGUAUGAACAGCUGUAGCUUUUCAGCAAAAAUGAACUCAGCCUCCAGUAUGAGACAAACAGAGGUUACCAAGCUUAGACCUGCCUGCCAGCAGCUCCCAGCCUGUGGGUACAGAGAGAGUGCAACAAAUAGUCUUCCACCUCCGACCUCUCCCUGCCUUCCCACCUGAGCAGUGGAGGGUGAGUUCAGGAUAUGUAGCGGCAGAGGCCAAAGUCUAUAAAUUUCUGACUCUGCGCCCUACUCAUUGUCCGAGUUUCCGCGUUUUUCAUGAACGCUCUCGGCCGCCGGGAAUUCUCUUUGAUGGGAUUUCAGGUUUCAGCAGCAAGUCCUGUUUACUUUUCUCGAUUCUAGACCCAAAGGAAAAUGAUACUUUGCUAAUUCCCUCCUCGGAAAGCCCUCGUCUCCUGGUUCUUGUUCCUUGGGAUUAAAAGUUGUGACUUCAACUUUUUCUUCCUUGGCUCUAAGAUGGGAAAACUGAGAAAACAGCGAUGGUCAAAACUGCGCUGAUGAUCAAAGAAAGCAGACAGAAAUGAACCCCGGCAGCGAGUCAGCAGCCCUCCUCCUGGAUACUGAUAUACUUUUGGUGUCUAAUGUCCUGGGAUGCUUCUUGUCACAGAAAUAUUCGCAUUGUGAAGUGCACACAUUCAGCACCUUGGUGCUGCUAAAUGCCAAAGCAUCAAUGAUACUAUCGAGAAAUAGGAAGACAAAGGAAAGAAACACUGAGCCCAGAAAGCUUCCUUACCUGGAUUCUCUGGUUUUUGCAUUACUUGGGAAGCUAGUGCUAGACCGUUAGUCCACUGGAAAAUGCCAUAUUUUUAAAAAUGGUAAUCUGAGUCAUUUCCUGGGGAUUCUUUAACAAUGAUGAUUAACAGUAAAAAAAUAAAAUAAAAUAAUAAAAAUCUCAGAUGCCCAUGCCUCCCACAAUGGCUGCAUAUAACUUUCCCUCCCAGCCCUGCCUGGUCAUUGCCGGAUCUUUACGUCUGCUAAUGUCCAGAAAGUGGCAGUUGGAUGCAGAGUUUCAGUCCAUUAAAAUCAAUGAAAAAUAGAUGAAGUAGAGCAC
rnacentral:lncRNA from 1 species